UUCAGUGUAGGGGCCUCGUUUUUUUGGAGUGUAGCGAGUGAAAGGGAAAGGUGCACCGAUGGUAGUGAUAAACAGGAACGGAGAUGGGAGGUGUCAAGUCAUCAUCCUAUAGAAGCCAAUUGAGUAUGUGCAAUGAUAAAUCUGGUCAGGGGGAGCCAUCGGAUAAGAGGAACUAAUGAUUCACAGGGUGAGGGCAUAAUAGAGAAGGUCAUGAUAGUCAAGAAAUUAGGUAAUGCUGAUGGGGGACGGAGACUCUAGGGGUGAGUUGUGGGUGGCGGCGGUAGAACGGGAGGGUAGGGAUCUCGGAAUCUAUGGGGAGAAAGAUUAGAUUAAAUAGGUGUAACAUGGGCCGUUGGAUCAAAUGAAUUGAUGGCCCAAAUUUAGGAAAAGCCCAAUAACUAGAUUGAGAAAUUAGUGAGUUGGAGAAGUAGGCUGUUGGAUCACAUGAAUCGACAGUCCAAAGUUUAGGACAUGCCCAAAUAGGUUCUGCUUGUAUCCUACGGGAGGGUCGAUCGGAAGAAAAGUUUGGAUUGAAUUGGGUAGGGGAAUAAAUGGGCUGUUUGAUCACAUGAGUUGACAGCCCAAAAUUGAGGGCUUGCCCAUGUAGGCUAUAGCAAAAUCUUAUGGGAGGAUCAUGAUCGAUAAAAAAAUAAGUGGGAUGGAGAUAUGGGCCAUUGGAUCACAUGAACUGACAACCCAAAGUAUAGAAUUUGCCCAAAUAGGCAAUGGCAGGAUCCUUUGAGGGUCAUCAUUGAUCGAGAAAAGAAGUGGGGAAGAGAAAUGGACAAUUGGAUGACAUGAAUCGACGGUCCAAAUUUAGGACAUGCCCAAAAUAGGCUAUGGUUGGCUCGUAAAGGACGUGAUCAAUCGAGAGAUAAUAAGGGGGUUGGAGAAAUGGGUCGUUAGAUCAGAUGAAUUGAUGUCCUGAAAUCUAAUCAGAUGAAUUGAUGUCAUGAUCGAUCGGGGGCAGAGGAGAGAGGUAGAGAAAUGGGUGUUGGAUCACAUUAAUUAAUGGUCCAAAAUUUUAGGAUAUGCCCAAAUAAUCUACAUUUGGAUCAAGGGGAGAGAGGGUGUCGUGAUCGAUUUGAGAGAAAAUAACUGGGGUGUAUAAAUGGGUCACUAGGUACACGAAUUAAGAAUUACUAGUCCAUCAACCUGUGCUCCCGCACGGGCUAAUAUUUUUUAGAAGCAAUUGUAUUUAAAUUAUUUAUAAAUUAAACUCCUAACUAAUAAUUAAAAUUGUUUACCUACUACUCUCUUUUUUAAUUAAUAAUUACUCAAUGCACUUUUUCAUCCAUAUUCAUAUUUUUUCCAUUUUGUAUCACACCUCCAAUCCUCCAUACAUUAUGUUUAGCAUACAAAUUAAUAUUUUUCAUCGAUACCUCACAUACAUGUAUAAAUGGUCUAAAUGGUGGCACUCAUCAUGCG
rnacentral:lncRNA from 1 species